UACGUAGGGGGCAAGCGUUGUCCGGAUUUACUGGGCGUAAAGAGCGUGUAGGCGGCCAAGCAGGUCCGUUGUGAAAACUGGAGGCUUAACCUCCAGACGUCGACGGAAACCGCGUGGCUAGAGUCCGGAAGAGGAGAGUGGAAUUCCUGGUGUAGCGGUGAAAUGCGCAGAUAUCAGGAAGAACACCAAUGGCGAAGGCAGCUCUCUGGGACGGUACUGACGCUGAGACGCGAAAGCGUGGGGAACGAACAGG
rnacentral:rRNA from 1 species